rnacentral:rRNA from 1 species
UUCCCCUAGUAACUGCGAGUGAAGCGGGAAAAGCUCAAAUUUAAAAUCUGGCAGCUCUUUUUUUUCUUCUUUGGCUGUCUGAGUUGUAAUCUAGAGAAGUGCUUACCUGCACUGGACCAUGUAUAAGUCUCCUGGAAUGGAGCCUCACAGAGGGUGAGAAUCCCGUCUUUGACAUGGACUGCCAGUGUGUUGUGGUGUGCUCUCAAAGAGUCGAGUUGUUUGGGAAUGCAGCUCUAAAUGGGUGGUAAACUCCAUCUAAAGCUAAAUAUUGGCGAGAGACCGAUAGCGAACAAGUACCGUGAGGGAAAGAUGAAAAGGACUUUGGAAAGAGAGUUAAACAGUAUGUGAAAUUGUUGAAAGGGAAACGCUUGAAGUCAGUUAUGUUGGCUAGGGAUCAACCUAGCUAUUUAUUGCUGGGUGAAUUUCCUAGUCUGACAGGCCAAUGUCAGUCUUGACUGCUAGAAAAGAGCAGAGGGAAUGUGGCACCUUUGGGUGUGUUAUAGCUCUUUGUCAUAUGUGGCAGUUGGGACUGAGGGAUGCAGCGUGCCGUGAGGCUGGGUUUCGACCACGUUCGCGCUUAGGAUGUUGGCUUUUAAUGGCUUCAAUCGACCCGUCUUGAAACACGGACCAAGGAGUCUAACAUGCCUGCAAGUGUUUGGGUGGUGAAAACCCUUGUGCACAAUGAAAGUGAAAGUUGAGAUCCCUGUCAUGGGGAGCAUCGACGCCCGGACCUGAGCUUUUAGCAAAGGAUCUGCGGUAGAGCAUGCAUGUUGGGACCCGAAAGAUGGUGAACUAUGCCUGAAUAGGGCAAAGCCAGAGGAAACUCUGGUGGAGGCUCGUAGCGAUUCUGACGUGC